rnacentral:rRNA from 1 species
GAUGAACGCUGGCGGCGUGCCUAAUACAUGCAAGUCGAGCGAACGGACGAGAAGCUUGCUUCUCUGAUGUUAGCGGCGGACGGGUGAGUAACACGUGGAUAACCUACCUAUAAGACUGGGAUAACUUCGGGAAACCGGAGCUAAUACCGGAUAAUAUUUUGAACCGCAUGGUUCAAAAGUGAAAGACGGUCUUGCUGUCACUUAUAGAUGGAUCCGCGCUGCAUUAGCUAGUUGGUAAGGUAACGGCUUACCAAGGCAACGAUGCAUAGCCGACCUGAGAGGGACGUCGCACAGCCUGUAAGUGAGACAGAGCAGAGACACUGAGAGUGAGAAGCGGCAGGGAAUCCUCCGGGAUGCAGCAGUGCGUAACAGAGCAACAUGGGGUAAGUGCUGAACGACCUCUGCUCGGAAAACGAUGAUAUUCUGGAAGUACAAAUGUGCUAUUAACUGUGCACAUCUUGACAGUACCUGAACAAAAAGCUACGGCUAACUCCGUG